rnacentral:rRNA from 1 species
UCUGACCGAGCAACGCCGCGUGAGUGAAGAAGGUUUUCGGAUCGUAAAACUCUGUUGUUAGAGAAGAACAAGGAUGAGAGUAACUGUUCAUCCCUUGACGGUAUCUAACCAGAAAGCCACGGCUAACUACGUGCCAGCAGCCGCGGUAAUACGUAGGUGGCAAGCGUUGUCCGGAUUUAUUGGGCGUAAAGCGAGCGCAGGCGGUUUCUUAAGUCUGAUGUGAAAGCCCCCGGCUCAACCGGGGAGGGUCAUUGGAAACUGGGAGACUUGAGUGCAGAAGAGGAGAGUGGAAUUCCAUGUGUAGCGGUGAAAUGCGUAGAUAUAUGGAGGAACACCAGUGGCGAAUGCGGCUCUCUGGUCUGUAACUGACGCUGAGGCUCGAAAGCGUGGGGAGCAAACAGGAUUAGAUACCCUGGUAGUCCACGCCGUAGACGAUGAGUGCUAAGUGUUGGAGGGUUUCCGCCCUUCAGUGCUGCAGCUAACGCAUUAAGCACUCCGCCUGGGGAGUACGACCGCAAGGUUGAAACUCAAAGGGAAUUGACGGGGGCCCGCACAAGCGGUGGAGCAUGUGGUUUAAUUUCGAAGCAACGCGAGAAUCUUUACCAGGUCUUGGACAUCCCUUUG